GAUGAACGCUGGCGGCGUGCCUAAUACAUGCAAGUCGAGCGAACAGACGAGGAGCUUGCUCCUCUGACGUUAGCGGCGGACGGGUGAGUAACACGUGGAUAACCUACCUAUAAGACUGGGAUAACUUCGGGAAACCGGAGCUAAUACCGGAUAAUAUAUUGAACCGCAUGGUUCAAUAGUGAAAGACGGUUUUGCUGUCACUUAUAGAUGGAUCCGCGCCGCAUUAGCUAGUUGGUAAGGUAACGGCUUACCAAGGCAACGAUGCGUAGCCGACCUGGGAGAGGGAUCGGCCACACUGGAACUGGGACACGGUCCAGACUCCUACGGGAGGCAGCAGUAGGGAAUCUUCCGCAAUGGGCGAAAGCCUGACGGAGCAACGCCGCGUGAGUGAUGAAGGUCUUCGGAUCGUAAAACUCUGUUAUUAGGGAAGAACAAAUGUGUAAGUAACUAUGCACGUCUUGACGGUACCUAAUCAGAAAGCCACGGCUAACUACGUG
rnacentral:rRNA from 1 species